rnacentral:rRNA from 1 species
GUCGAGCGAAUGGAUUAAGAGCUUGCUCUUAUGAAGUUAGCGGCGGACGGGUGAGUAACACGUGGGUAACCUGCCCAUAAGACUGGGAUAACUCCGGGAAACCGGGGCUAAUACCGGAUAACAUUUUGAACCGCAUGGUUCGAAAUUGAAAGGCGGCUUCGGCUGUCACUUAUGGAUGGACCCGCGUCGCAUUAGCUAGUUGGUGAGGUAACGGCUCACCAAGGCAACGAUGCGUAGCCGACCUGAGAGGGUGAUCGGCCACACUGGGACUGAGACACGGCCCAGACUCCUACGGGAGGCAGCAGUAGGGAAUCUUCCGCAAUGGACGAAAGUCUGACGGAGCAACGCCGCGUGAGUGAUGAAGGCUUUCGGGUCGUAAAACUCUGUUGUUAGGGAAGAACAAGUGCUAGUUGAAUAAGCUGGCACCUUGACGGUACCUAACCAGAAAGCCACGGCUAACUACGUGCCAGCAGCCGCGGUAAUACGUAGGUGGCAAGCGUUAUCCGGAAUUAUUGGGCGUAAAGCGCGCGCAGGUGGUUUCUUAAGUCUGAUGUGAAAGCCCACGGCUCAACCGUGGAGGGUCAUUGGAAACUGGGAGACUUGAGUGCAGAAGAGGAAAGUGGAAUUCCAUGUGUAGCGGUGAAAUGCGUAGAGAUAUGGAGGAACACCA